CAGUAGCCGCGGGAAUACGUAGGGUGCGAGCGUUAAUCGGAAUUACUGGGCGUAAAGCGUGCGCAGGCGGUUGUGUAAGACAGGUGUGAAAUCCCCGGGCUUAACCUGGGAACUGCGCUUGUGACUGCACAGCUAGAGUAUGGCAGAGGGGGGUGGAAUUCCGCGUGUAGCAGUGAAAUGCGUAGAGAUGUGGAGGAACACCGAUGGCGAAGGCAGCCCCCUGGGCCAAUACUGACGCUCAUGCACGAAAGCGUGGGGAGCAAACAGGAUUAGAUACCCCUGUAGUCCCUGUCUCUUAUAC
rnacentral:rRNA from 1 species